rnacentral:tRNA from 1 species
UGGCCUGAAGCAUUGGCGGUUGAUGCACUGGCCUCAUAAGCCAGCGAAGGGGGUUCAAGUCCCCACAGGCCAA